rnacentral:tRNA from 1 species
GUUGAUUGUGGCUCAGUGGUAGAGCACUUGCCUCACAUACGUGAGGCACUGAGUUUGAUUCUCAGCACCACA